CGCGGUCUCUGGGCUGGUUGAGCUGCGCCGCUGCAGGUAGUGCUGAGUUGCUCCAGUGCCACUGGGUUAGGGUCUCCACAACCGAGCUGGUCUCAGCAAGUGGUGUCCAUACAUGGGGCUCGAACCUGGGUUGAAGGGUCGCCAGAGCGACGGUUGGAGAACGUGGAACUAAGCUGGAGGACACCUGAGUACUCUUAAGCAAUCCCCGUGGGGGAGUUAAUCCUCGAGGAUUGGAACGUAAUUCUCUUUGGCAAAUGGAUGUCACCCACGUUCCCUCGUUUGGGAGACUAGCUUAUGUACAUGUAUGUGUGGACACCUUUUCUCACUUUGUCUGGGCUACAUGCCAAUCAGGAGAGUCUUCUGCCUGAGUUAAACAUCACCUUUUGCAGUGUUUUGUGGUGAUGGGCAUUCCAGCUUCUAUUAAAACAGAUAACGUCCCAGGCUAUACUAGCCAAGCUCUAGCUACAUUUUUCUCUAUAUGGAAUACUAAACACAUUACUGGCAUUCCGUAUAAUUCUCAAGGACAAGCCAUAGUGGAAAGAAUGAAUCCCUCCCUGAAACAGCAGUUGCAAAAGCAAAAAGGGGGAAACAGGGACUAUGGGAUACCCCAUAUGCAAUUGAAUCUAGUAUUAUUGACUUUAAAUUUUUUGAGACUGCCUAAAGGCCAGAUGCUAUCAGCAGCUGAAUAGCAUCUACAGAAACCAGCUGCAAAGACAGAAGCAGAACAACUGGUUUGGUGGAGAGAGCCAAUGAUAAAAAGUUGGGAAAUGGGUAGAAUAAUAACUUGGGGUAGAGGUUAUCCUUGUGUUUCUCCAGGACCAAAUCAACUGCCAAUUUGGAUAUCAUCGAGGCACCUGAAACCUUAUCAUGAGCCUGAUGCUGAGGAAUAGAUUCUGGGAGGAUCCCGAGGAUCCCCUGGUUGCAGCCAUGUUGAGACUGACGCUGAGGGGGACCCCAACUGUCACGAGCAACACCCAUCGAACGCAGCCACCUACCUGGGGACAGAUCAAGAAGCUGUCACAGAUGGCAGAAGAAAACCUAAGGAAAGUGGGACAACCAGUCACAAUGAGUAAUUUAAUGAUAGCUAUGAUAGUGGUGAUCACCAUUGCCAUGAGUAUUCCUUCAACAAGGGCUGGCACAGAGGACAAUUAUACUUAUUGGGCGUAUUUAUCAAUCUUGGCUGGCAAUAAUGCCUGGAUGUAAUCACUCUAUGACACAGUUACACAUGCUUUCUGGUCUCCGUAUUUACCAUAAUAAAUCUGCUCCUGUAAUUGAGGUAUACUGCCCUCAAAAACCUAUUUGUAAACAGAAUUGGACCUGGCUAGAAAUAAUGAAUGUAUUUGUUUGGGAAGAUUGCAUUGCAAAACAGGCAGAGGUGCUGUGCAACAAUUCCCGUGGAAUCAUUAUUGAUUGGUCCCCUAAGGGGAUGUUUAGCUUGAAUUGCACCUGUCAGUCUGUGUGCCACAGCCACACUAUGUUCAGCUGGUCUGAACAAAAUGGUC
rnacentral:lncRNA from 1 species